UUUUUUUUUUAAUUUUAAGAUUAAUGGAAAAUAUUGUGGAACAUUAAACUAGAUAGACAAGAGACAAGCUAAUAUGUCUUUAUUUUUGUUUUGGUUUGCUUACCUGACUCCCCCCCACCAAAAAAAUUAAUCUAAAUCUGAAAGAUACUGUUCAACAGCCAGCACUUCCCUUUUCUUUGACAGGAGGGCAUAAUGGGGACAAAAAAUAUCUGUCUUCUUUUGGGUGUCAUUUUCUAUGGUAGCAUUUUAAAAUGAUAAAUAAACCCAUUGUAAGCUCAUGUUUGUUCUUAUUUCCUGGCUGUUUCUGUACUGAGCUCUGUAUAACUGUGUAUGUGUCCCGCUGACCGUGCUCUAGUGUGUGACUACUCUAAGCCUGCUUUAGCCACAGCAUUUUUGAGGAAUUUCAGUAUACUCCCCCACAAACAUCUCCUGAAACUGAGAUGUGAAUUUUCAUCCAAAUGUUCCCUCUUUAACUCCCUCUCUGCUCCAUGGGUGGCUCAUUGCCCUGAAGAGCCAGGGGUCAGAGAUGGAGGCCAGCAAUGCCUCCUUGGGCCCCACGCACAGGCUGGAACCUGUGGCACCAAUGGUGCUGUGCAGGUCUGGUGUUGAAAAAAACUCUGGUCUGGCUCUGGUUCUCACUCUGGUUAUCUUGAGCAAGCUAAUGCUUUUCCCUACAUUGCUCUACAAGAAUAUUUGUGAAGGAUUUCCCCUCAAUUUUAAGUCCUUAUAUAAUGAACAAGUAAUCUAUUUGAGCUGCUGAGGCAAAGCACUUGGAGAACACUCCCUUGGGCCCACUGACUCCCAGUGGUGAGGCUGAAGGUGAACAGGGCUGGAAGGCACUUGUUCUCUGACUGACAGUCUAUACCCACUCUGUGGUCAGGAGAAAGAUUCUGGGCUCUUCUAAAUUCUCUGAUCUUGCCUAUUCUGAAGUGGUGUCCAGCAGCAGGUACUUGGCUUCUCCAUGGUUUUAGUACUGCAGGUGUUUGCAGAUUGUGGUGAAACUUGUAACUGGACAAGGGAUGGAAAAUCAACAUCACUUUUAGCACAGACACAUCCUCAAGCACAUAGUGGCUUAACUGAUGCAGCAGUAAAAUGAGAUGAGGACAUUUUGUGUUUUCCUGUAAGAUUACAAUAUUGCCGAUUUUUACUCCACCCCAUUUACCAUGUUUGCAUAAACACAGUAAGUGACCAAGUCUAGCUGCUGAGGUGUGCCUGCACUCUGCCUCUGUUGAAUGAGUUUUAUGCAAUGGCUCUGAUGACAGAUCUAGGGGACUUUCAUCAUUGCAGUGUUGGAUAUUUAUCAUGAAAGUGCCAGAUUUGUAUUUCCAGCACCAUUCUCAGAGGCAGAAUUGCUUAAACAGUAACUAAAGCAGGCAGAGAAAGACAGCAAGCCACUCCUUAAUAUGUAAUUCUUACAGAUUUUUGUAUGUUGUGAUGCAAGGGAUAAUAUUAUAUGUACAUUGUAGGAAGAAAUGGACAAGGCAAAAUAAUUAUGUUUUUGGGACAGACUUUAAUAAUGUCCAGUCUGACUCAAAUGUUGUUACAUUUCCAAGAUUCUUCUUCACUUCCUUGUUAUAACCCUAUUCUCCCAUGUAGGGGGUUAGGGGAUGAUCCAUAUCAUCAUGUAAAGUGUGUGGACUUCACAGUGUUUCUACUGUAGAUUUGUAAAAGUGCCAUGAGGCUAAAAGUUAUAUUGAAAACACCACAGUUAAUAAUGUUGGACUGUGUCCCUGGCAAAAUGAAAAUCUUUGCAGCUGGACACAAGUGCCUUGUAAUACUGAAGAAGAGCCAGGGGACCUCUGUGCAUCUAUCAGUUUGCAGAUGAAGCUGCUAUAGGGCUUGCAAAAGAAGGUCAAGGAAACAGCUGAUGGGAAAAGAAAAAAGCAAAGAUAUCGGCUGACAACUAAAGCUUGGGCUAAUUUUCAUUGUAGGUUUUUUUCUCUGUUUCGUACCUUUUUUCUCUUUUCAGUUCGGAUGUGUUAGUUGUUCACCUAUCCUUGUCCUGAGAAUUGAUUGUUACAUCCAUGGGAGAUUGCUGGCAUGAAGAAAACACUGAGAGUAAUUAAAGUGCGGAAGGCUGAUGUCAGGAUUGCGUCUCCCUUUCAAAGGAAAUAUGAACUUCACCAGAAAACAGUUUUGUUUCAAAAUAAACUUCAUUCCAGUGGAUGCAGUAUCCAGCUGACCCAGUUGAAACAUGGAAUGGUGUAGUGCUGCAGCAAUGGAGCAUUGACUGUGGAGUUCUGUGGUGAUCACCCUUAAGGUAAGGAUGUAGCGUAGAAAGACCAAUAAAGAGUGAGGCAAGGUUCAUCAAUUGGUGAGCCAGCCUCACACCAGGAUGCUGUGGUUUGGUUUCCAUGAGAUAUCAGUUGGCCAUUGUCCUUCUCCACACAGCUGUCCCAGUUCUCAUCUUCUUACACGUUUCUGCUGCUGUAUCUUUAGGGGACACCAAACCUGUGUGUGUUUGGGGGGUCACAAUAGGGUGGCCCCAAGAAGAUGCAUUGUGUGACAGGGCAAGGGCUGCACCCAGGACGUGAGUGCAGAAGUGUUUUCUGCUGGGCUGAGCCAGCUGGGAAGCUCAUAAGCAGCAUGGUGGUGUGUUGAGGGCAAUGUCUGGAGCUUGGGAUUUCCCACUGGGGAGAGAGACGUGGAUAUAAACCAAAUGGCUGUAAAAAUGUGAAUGCAGAACAUACUAAGCAGCCCUUAUCCUCCCAAAAGACAUGUGUGCUAGGGUGUUAUGCAAAUCUUGAAAGGAUAUAGCCUCCAGCUCAUCCCAUUGUUGAAAAGGAUUAAGGCUCUGCGAGUGCUGGGCACUUAGGGAUUAUGGUUCAGCAUCCAGAGAGGGAUGCACCCGGACUAAUUUAUGGUGGGCUUUAUGCCUUCACUGAACACCUACAAUUGUUAUGAUUUCUUUUCCUUGGCUUCUGGAAAUGUCAGAACAGAUACUCUAACUUUUCCACUGAAUUGUUGAUCAUCACGAACUCUCUUUCCCUGGAUCCACACACAGAUGUGCUAAUAAAAAGCAGUAUUUGAGACAUGGCACCUUAUCUUCUCUGCUAAACUUGGUCACCGCUAUGCAGAGCAGCUGCAAUCUGUGUCCUGCUUCACUGCCUGAGACCCACAGCUAUUCCAGGUAGAUGUGUCACCAAUCCUCUCCCACAACAGCCUUGCUGUAUUUUACCGCCCACAGCACUUCAGAUUAUUUCUUCAUGUAAAAGUUCAGUGUUGUGGUUCAGCCCUUGGGAGUUAAUGUCUGAGCUGGCUCUGCAGUACAGGGGUGAUGUGGUUAUUGGUCCUUCUGAUAGGGCUGGAGUAGCCACUGACUGGUGGGAGGGCUUGUGCAUUACUACAUAAUACAUCAAACCUCUGCUGCAGCAGCUUCUUCAGAAGAGGAGAUAAAUUUUUCAGUGCCUCAUGUGCCUCUGUGCAGGGCUCUGUCAUUCCACACACCAGGGAUUUCCUUACCAGCAUCAGGGGACUCAACCAAGGGUGGAGAAGCUUAGACUUGGUUAUUCUGAAACAUGUGACCUGCUUAACACAGCUCUGUGUCUGUACAGUCUUGACUGUCCACUGCUGUUUUACAAUCUGCAUUCAACAGCACAGAGACACAAUGGACAUUAGUGACAAGUUAUGUCUCUCAAGGGUCUGUAUUGGGACCAGUGUUAUUUAAUAACUUCAUUGAUUACAUAGAUAAAUGGUUCACGUGCACCCCCAGCAAAGUUUGCAGAUGACACCAGGCCGAGCAUUGAAACACCUGAAGGACAGGAUGCCAUCUAGAGGGACCUGGAAAAACUCAAGAAGUGGGCCCAGGGAAAUCUCAAGAGUUUUAACAAGACUAAAUUCAAGGUACUGCAUUUGGGUGAGGACAACCCCCAGUACCAGCACUGGCUGGGGAUGGACAGACCAGAGCAGCCCUGCCCAGAAGGACUUGGGAUGCUGUGGGUAGAGGCUGGACAUGAGCCAGCCAUGGGCACUCCCAGCCCAGAGAGCCAAACGUGUCCUGGGCUGCAUCCAAAGCAGCAUGGGCAGCAGGGCCAGGGAGGGGAUUCUGCCCCUCUGCUCUGCUCUGCUGAGAGCCACCUGCAGGGCUGCAUCAGCUCUGGGGGGCCAGCACAGGAAGGACACGGAGCUGCUGGAGUGACUCCAGAGGAGGUCACCCAGAUGGUUGCAGGGAUGGAACACCUCUCCUGUGAGGAAAGACUGAGAGAAUUGUUGUUGUUCAGCCUGGAAAACAGAAGGCUUAGGGGUGACCUAGUUGUGGCCUUCUAGUACGUGAUGGGAGUCUACAAGAAAGAUGGAAAGAGACUUUAUACAAGGACAAGAGAGAAUGACUUCAAACUAUAUGAGGGUGGGUUUAGAUUAGAUAUUAGGCAAUAAUUUUGUACUGUGAGAGUGGUGAGGCAGUGGAACACAUUGAAAGAAAUAGUGGGUGCCUCAUCUCUGGAAGUGUUCAAGGCCAGGCUGAAUGGAGCUCUGGGCAGUCUGGUGUAGUGGAAGUGCCCCUGCCCAUGGAAGGGCGUUUGGAACGAGAUUAUAUUUAUGGUCACUUCUAACCUAGACCAUUCUAGGAUUCCAUAAUUAUCAAGUUUUGCUCAUCUGAGCUGAAGCUCAGAAAACAAUAGAGAAAACUAGGGAAGAUGCUAAUAGGGUUGAAACUGCUGUUUCAAAACAUCUGCUGUUCUCCAUUUUUCUUGGCUUCUGCUUCCCACCCCUUUCAUUUUAGAAUCUCUUGAUGAAACAGAAGUAAAAUCCACUAGUCUGCAUUUCAGAAAGUAGUCUUUAAACUUUCAAACAUGGUAGACAUUUUCACCUAUGUUUUCCUUGCACAAAAACUGCAAUGGAAAAAUAUCAGAGCAAAAUUGGCAGUGUGUGUCCCUGGAGGUCCUUUUAAAAAAAAUUGACCCAUUCAAAACUAUAUUCCACCCUUAGGCCUAAAUAACUGGUUUAUGUUCCAGGUGAAUUUCUGCAGCAAUUUGCAGUUCUACUUUUUCAAUUAUCUAUUUUUCCCCUAUUGAGAUCUUAUUCAUUCCCAUUUACUUCUGCAAAGACUUUUUUCCUGUUCAUAGUGCCAUUAUGCUUUUCCCGACUAUUUCUUUGAAAUUAAGUGCUUGGUUCUUUAUCUUUUCCUCAUUAAUUACUGAUGUCUUUUUGACCUCUGCUUUGUAAGCGACCAUGCCAUAUUUCUAUUUCCUAUCUUUUAGGCUUGUUUAAGAUAUUUUCUUUCUUUAAUGACCUGCUCUGAAUAGCUUUGUUCUUGUUUUUCAGUCAUUUCCCAGAAUGGCCACACAGCCAAACCUUUGCCCUGCUCUCUUGUUUUUCAUCUUGUCUCUGCUGUAUCAAUGGCCUAGUUAAAAAUGUAUUUUACAGCUCACUGAGGACAAACCUCACUCCAUUUGUAUAAUUAUGCUGAUCAUAAUCUCAAAAACCUUUUGCUAUGACUGUGCACCAGUUAGAACCUCUCUAUUGAGGGCCAGAGGCAGUUGGGUGUGAACAGAAGUGGGUAUUGCUUUUAGGCUUGGAGUUUGGCUUAGAAGAACAUGAACAGAAGCCAUGAAUGUUGGAUUAAUGAAAUGUCAGUUUAAAUGGCUGAAGACUUUUUUCUGUGUAAAGGUUGUAAGCUUUUUUUGUCAAGCUCUUCAGUGAGAUGGGUGAUACUUUGGUACUUCAGAAGACUCAAACUUGUCAUUAGGUAUCAAAAUUAUUGCUUGGACUGAUUCCACAUAUACCAUUUCACAAUGCCUUAUAGUGGCAUUUUCAUUUGCUUCUUCCUUCUUAAUAAUUCUCCAAGUUUUUUUUGUUUGUUUGUUUUAUAAUUGAAAAUAUUCAAAUAGUUCAUAAAUUAUUUUCCUGUCUUUGCCAAAUUUCCCAUUAGUGUCAGUGGAAUCUCAUUUAGCAGGCAAGGUUAGGCUCUACCAUCACCUCUCAGUAUUCCUUUCUCGAGGAGUGAUGGCUAGGAAGGAAAGCCAGCUGCUUUUUUCAAAACUGUGAGAGUUCUGGGCCUUGUUACUGAAAUAUAUUUAAUAUAUGUGUAAAGGAAGACAUGAUACAUGCAGGCAUUUGCUGUCAUUUUGUUCUUUUAAAUAAAUAACUGAGUAUAAUGAGUCUCAGCCACAGAAUGAACAUAAUGAGCCUCCAAAAAAUAUGUUGUCUGAGAGCAAUAUUUACCACUGAGGAAGGGAUUGUUACAGAAACAAGAAUUGUUUAGACGUUAGCGGGUGAGGUAAGAAUCUAUUAAAGGAAUUAAAAGCAAAGAUGACUCAUCACACACUUCUGCUUAUUUGUAAGAGACACAUGAAAGGCAGGGAUUUCAAAACAUUCGUAUUAGAAAAACAUCAAUAACAAAGCCCCCUGGUUUAAUUUUUCGGUCUCGUGGGCUUCAAAAGAAGAUGUGACUUUUCCACGUCUGCCUUGAAAAUCACACAGCACUGGAAACUAGAAAAGGCUUUCUUUGCUUUGCUACAUUUAUUUCUUAGAUUUGUUACCUAUAGAUGAAAUUUACACCACUUUCUUCUCUGCAAAAAUCUAGAAACUGUUUUUGUUGCAUUGAGAGUCAAGUUUCUGAUAUGUCUCAAAGGGGAAAGUUCUUCUCCUGCUGCUGAUGCUGAUGCUCCCGUGGCUUGCCGAGGAAAGCCUGCCUCACCUGCUGCUCACCACUUGCUCCCCCUCUCCAGCCAACCCACUGCUCUCCCUGCUAAGAAAAUCCCUCUGGAACAGAGAUCAAGGGAGUCAAUCAGCUCUCUGUGCUUUGCUUUCCCUGUCAUGGGCAGGAGACCCUUGCAACGGGUUAGUGUAACAUUGAUUUAGGCACAAAACAGCAGGGCCAGGCUUUUAUGAGGUUAUGUGGGUACUGGAGCAAAGUGUCACAGAACAGAUGUGGUAGAAAAUUCGUCUUAACAUGUUUUUCAUAUUAGGAUACAGAUAAUACUGAGAGUAGAAUAGAAUAGAAUAGAAUAGAAUAGAAUAGAAUAGAAUAGAAUAGAAUUAAUGUAAGUACAGAAUUUGUAUGGGUACCUUUGCUAUAGGAGGAUAAUAGACAACA
ensembl:lncRNA